GCCCCCAUUGUCUAAUGGCUAUGACGUCAGACUUCUAAUCUGGAGGUUGCGGGUUCGAGUCCCGCUGGGGGUA
rnacentral:tRNA from 1 species